UGGGGAAUAUUGCACAAUGGGCGCAAGCCUGAUGCAGCCAUGCCGCGUGUAUGAAGAAGGCCUUCGGGUUGUAAAGCACUUUCAGCGGGGAGGAAGGCGAUAAGGUUAAUAACCUCAUCGAUUGACGUUACCCGCAGAAGAAGCACCGGCUAACUCCGUGCCAGCAGCCGCGGUAAUACGGAGGGUGCAAGCGUUAAUCGGAAUUACUGGGCGUAAAGCGCACGCAGGCGGUCUGUCAAGUCGGAUGUGAAAUCCCCGGGCUCAACCUGGGAACUGCAUUCGAAACUGGCAGGCUAGAGUCUUGUAGAGGGGGGUAGAAUUCCAGGUGUAGCGGUGAAAUGCGUAGAGAUCUGGAGGAAUACCGGUGGCGAAGGCGGCCCCCUGGACAAAGACUGACGCUCAGGUGCGAAAGCGUGGGGAGCAAACAGG
rnacentral:rRNA from 1 species